AUUGAACGCUGGCGGCAGGCUUAACACAUGCAAGUCGAGCGGGGUGAUGGUGCUUGCACUAUCACUUAGCGGCGGACGGGUGAGUAAUGCUUAGGAAUCUGCCUAUUAGUGGGGGACAACAUCUCGAAAGGGAUGCUAAUACCGCAUACGUCCUACGGGAGAAAGCAGGGGAUCACUUGUGACCUUGCGCUAAUAGAUGAGCCUAAGUCGGAUUAGCUAGUUGGUGGGGUAAAGGCCUACCAAGGCGACGAUCUGUAGCGGGUCUGAGAGGAUGAUCCGACACACUGGGACUGGGACACGGCCCAGAUUCCUACGGGAGGCAUCAGUGGGGAAGAUUGGACAAUGGGGGGAACCCUGAUCCAGCCAUGCCGCGUGUGUGAAGAAGGCCUUAUGGUUGUAAAGCACUUUAAGCGAGGAGGAGGCUCUUUUGGUUAAUACCCAAGAUGAGUGGACGUUACUCGCAGAAUAAGCACCGGCUAACUCUGUGCCAGCAGCCGCCGUAA
rnacentral:rRNA from 1 species